UACGUAGGGGGCAAGCGUUGUCCGGAUUUAUUGGGCGUAAAGAGCGUGUAGGCGGCCAGACAGGUCCGUUGUGAAAACUCGAGGCUCAACCUCGAGACGCCGAUGGAAACCAUCUGACUAGAGUCCGGAAGAGGAGAGUGGAAUUCCUGGUGUAGCGGUGAAAUGCGCAGAUAUCAGGAAGAACACCCGUGGCUAAGGCGGCUCUCUAGUACGUGACUGACGCUGAGACGCGAAAGCGUGGGGAGCGAACAGG
rnacentral:rRNA from 1 species